AAGCGGGGUAGAGGAAUUGGUCGACUCAUCAGGCUCAUGACCUGAAGACUGCAGGUUCGAAUCCUGUCCCCGCCUA
rnacentral:tRNA from 5 species